rnacentral:rRNA from 1 species
AUUGAACGCUGGCGGCAUGCCUUACACAUGCAAGUCGAACGGCAGCACGGGAGCAAUCCUGGUGGCGAGUGGCGAACGGGUGAGUAAUAUAUCGGAACGUGCCCAGUCGUGGGGGAUAACGUAGCGAAAGCUACGCUAAUACCGCACACGAUCUAUGGAUGAAAGCGGGGGAUCGCAAGACCUCGCGCGAUUGGAGCGGCCGAUAUCAGAUUAGGUAGUUGGUGAGGUAAAGGCUCACCAAGCCGACGAUCUGUAGCUGGUCUGAGAGGACGACCAGCCACACUGGGACUGAGACACGGCCCAGACUCCUACGGGAGGCAGCAGUGGGAAUUUUGGACAAUGGGCGCAAGCCUGAUCCAGCAAUGCCGCGUGCAGGAUGAAGGCCUUCGGGUUGUAAACUGCUUUGUACGGAACGAAACGGUGAGCUCUAAUACAGUUUGCUAAUGACGGUACCGUAAGAAUAAGCACCGGCUAACUACGUG